AGGCCCGGGCGCUGUUAGGGGUGACUCCCACGAUCCCUAGCGGCUGCGGAGUGGAAAAUGGCGGCCUCCUUGCCGCUUGGGUUACCAGAGUCCACCCGACCUCGUGCUUUCUCCGGGCGCCCGUAGCUGGUGCCGGCAUCCACAAAAAUAGAUCAGAGGAUGAAUAAAGAGGAAGCUCCAGGCUGUGAGGUGUCUAAUCCUUGCUCCCCUCAGAAGUUGGGACAUGUUGGACCAAGGUGGUAAGGAUAGUGAGAGGCCAAAGAUUUAACAAUACACUGUGAUGCUGGGGCUGGCUGGGAGGAGAUUGCACCUUUAUAGCCCGGUGGUGGCAAUCCAGAGUGCAACCCCUAGAGAUGGCAACUUGACAAGACCUCUCAAAAAACACUACACACAGCUUUUGAGCCCCUCAACCCACUUCUGAGAGUAUGUCCUAUGGCAACAUGUGCACACAUGGAAAAUAAAGCCUGUACAAGUUUCCCAGAAGCUGGACAAGCCACGACGGCGCCUUCCAAUAAAAGGGGAACUCCAGAGACGCUAUGAGAAAAGAGGAACAGACAUCUGCAAUAGAUAUGCGCAACUUCCUUUUCAAAAACACCAUCGGCAUUGCUUUCUCAGGAAGCCACUGCCAGCCUAUUGUGAUAGCUGACACUGAGUUCCUGAAAAUUCUCUAAUUAGGAUCCCAGACUGGAGGGUCAGCCAGUGGUUAACAUAUAAAUGGACACAAAACUGAUUUUAUUGGAAGACUGAGGGUGGGCACUCACCAUGGUUCUAAGCAUUACUCAGAAGAUCCAUAAAAACAUUACAGUUCUGUUGUGUAAGAGUUUAGGAAAAAAAGAAAAUCCUGACAAAAAUCCCAACCUAAAAAACAAUGUCAACAUUUGUAAGUAGGAUGGGGAGGCAGAGAUGAAUUGGCAGCGUUAUCACAGCUACUGGACUAUGUGGACUUUAACAAAAUAAGAAACAGGGGUGGGGGUUGGGUGGUGGUAUCUUAACAGAGCAGGAGUAGAGACGGAUGUCCUGGGGCAGAAUGGGUACCAAUGCUGCCUGAAGCCUGGAGCUGGGAGCUGAGGACUAAGAGGUAGACAGGAGGGUGGGGACCCGUACCUGCUCCAAGGAACUGGUGCCCCAGAACUGGUGAGCUGGGGUAUGCAUUUAAGCUCAUUCGUUUACCAGAAUGCAGUCACCACCUGAUGAAAGAAAUGACUAAUGGCAGGACUUGAACAGUUCUCUAUAAAUGAGUACCUGGGAGAAAAACAGGUCUCCAGGCUCCACAAUACCCAACAAACACACUGCCUUUAGCCCAUUUCAAGCUGCACUUCUUAACACCGAACCCAACCCAACCAACCUCAGAGGUAAGGAUGAGAGCAGGCAAUGAACAGCUAUGAUUCUCCAUUCCCUGGCCAGGCAGGGAGCCUUUCCAGCCACCCUCGUGAGACUGCUUGUAACAGAAAUAAGGAAACCAACUCCAAGACUCAGUAACUCACCCAAGGUCAGAACCACUGAGUGGCAGGGCCUGUGAGCCACAAAGGAAACUGAAAACCAGAAAGAGCUUCUCUCUGGUCUGUUAUUUUAAGAAAAACAUGCCCAGAGGGGCCACCUGGAACCAAGGCUGUGGCACCCUCACCUUCCUCUCUAAUUAAACAACAACUUCCCAGGAGCAACAACAGCAGCAACAGGCUGGCCCAGCAGAUGAACUGGAAUCAAUCCAAGCCUUUCCCCUAUGCCAGGGCUGGUGUAGCAUAGGCAUACGGGUCAGUUUCGGCACUAACACCUACUUAGUUUGGGCACUACUUUACCUGCUGUGAAGUCUACUGGGAUCUUCCAGGAAAGUCCUACCUCAUUAGUAAAAAGAAAAACAAAGACUCAGGAAGAAAGUUCCUGCUCUCCCUGUUGAAUGCUGUGUGAGGAUAAGAUGUUUGGAGCAUGGCAGUCACCCUGUGACUAUGAGAAGGCCAGGUGUACCACAGGGUGGUCAUUCCAGUGCUCUGGAUCAGCCCCAAACCACUUCCCUCAAGACUCAUGUUCUAAGGUGAUUAAAAGUGUGCUUUGAAGGUAAAUCUAUGGUGACAGUCAACAGAUCAGUGAUUGCCAGGAGUCAGGGGUAGAGGGAGGGAAGAACAGAUGUAGCACUGAGAAUUUUUAGGGCAGUGAAAAUGUUCUGUAUGAUACUAUAUAUAAUGGAUACAUGCCAUUAUACACUUGUCCACACUCACAGAAUGUACACCACCAAGAGUGAACCCUAAUGUAAACUAUGGACUUUGGGUGAUCAUGAUGUGUCAAUGCAGGUUCGUCAAUUGCAACACAUGUACCAUUCUAGUGGAGGGUGUUGAUAACAGGAGGCUAUGCAUGUGUGGGACCAGGGGAUAUAUGGGAAAUCUCUGUACAUGCCUCUCAAUUUUGCUGAGAAUCUAAAACUGCUCUUAAUAAAGUCUUACAAAAAUAAA